rnacentral:misc_RNA from 1 species
GCAAACUUGGUCAUUUAGAGGAAGUAAAAGUCGUAACAAGGUCUCCGUUGGUGAACCAGCGGAGGGAUCAUUAAAGAGUUGCAAAACUCCCAUAACCCUUGUGAACCUACCCAUAUGUCGUUGCUUCGGCGGGCAGUCCACCCCCCUCGCGGGGGCGGGCCUCGCCUCCCCUCGGGGGGGUGUCCGCCGGAGGGACCAACCAUAAACUCUUGCAUUUAGUGGCAUCUCUGAGUAUAUAUCAAAAUAAGUUAAAACUUUCAACAACGGAUCUCUUGGUUCUGGCAUCGAUGAAGAACGCAGC